rnacentral:misc_RNA from 1 species
UCGCGUCUUACGACGGCAGUUUCACUAGAGUUCCCAGCGUUACCUGAUGGCAACUAGUGAUGGGAGUUGCGCUCGUUGCGGGACUUAACCCAACAUCUCACGACACGAGCUGACGACAACCAUGCACCACCUGUGAACCGGCCCCAAAGGGGAAACCACAUCUCUGCAGCAGUCCGGUCCAUGUCAAGCCUUGGUAAGGUUCUUCGCGUUGCAUCGAAUUAAUCCGCAUGCUCCGCCGCUUGUGCGGGCCCCCGUCAAUUCCUUUGAGUUUCAACCUUGCGGCCGUAGUCCCCAGGCGGUUCACUUAAUGCGUUAGCUGCGGCACCGAGGAUUACUCCCCAACACCUAGUGAACAUCGUUUAGGGCCGAGACUAC